UGUAUUCAACCAAUCAGUGUCUUGAGAUAACAGAUAGGAUGUCAAAGAUUCUAGUUGGUAAAGAACCUGAAGGGGUAUGCAAUGAAGGGCCUAUUCUUUCUACAAAGGAUCUUUUAGCAAAGACCGAAGAUAUGAUGAUAAGGUGUAACAUCAAUCAGAGGAAGGGGGAUCAUAAAUUUAACCGCAAAACCUUAGUCGUAGCAUUUGAGGUUGCUGAAGCUGAAGGCGUGAACGUAGUAUUGACAAAAGUCGAACAAGAUAAUGAGAUGAAACCAAGGACUGUCAAAGCUUUGGUAAACAGUUUGUGCCCUGCGAUUUUGCUAGCAUAGCCCAGAAACUUGCAGAUGGUAUCCCUCAGGUUGGCAGCUUUCUUUCGGGAAAGAAGUUGUACAACCUUAAGCAUGGUCAGAUAUACAAGGCCCCAGGGAUGCCAGAAGACGAGAAUCACAAAAAAAAGGUGGUAUGGCAUGCUGUUGUUCGUAUUGGGGCAGGCAAAAGAAGAAAGAAAUAUUUUUAUCAUUUUGUGAACUCACUAGGUGUUAAGUUUUGCCUGAGGAUACCUAUAAAUCCAUCUCCAAGACCUAAAUCCACAUGGGUUGGAGGAGUCCAGUGUGGAAAGUCUAAACAGUUUCCGGGUGGAUUUGGGAAGGUUCGCGCCAGUGAUGUCAUGCUGGAUACAUUGCAAUUUGUUAGAUAUCCAGACUCCAACACACAGAAACAGCCUUGGGUCUCGUUUAAUUACUGUGCUGUCCGUAAGUUUUGAUUGAGCUUUGCUCCUUUUGUUUGAUCAUAUUGGUUUCCUUGUGUGAUACUUCAUAUUUGUUUUCAUAAUUUAAGCCUGCUGAAGGAUUAGCAUAUGCCCAACGAUUGAAGUUGGAGUUAGUAUUGGAGUUGCUCCCAUGUACUGUUUUGCUUUGCAUGUUAGUUGGUAGACUAGUGUUACACAUGCAUGUGGACUGGCCGUACAUCUUUCAUGAAUACUAUAAUGAUAUAUCUUGGCAACAGAAAGACAACACCAGAAUAAGAAGCCCAUAUUAUGAAUAUGUUUUGUUUUUCCAUUCAACUUUCAUUUUUGGCAUGAAUGUAAUUUUGAACAUAAGCUGGAAAAAAACCCAUAUCAGUUGAAAUAUUCUAGUUAGUAUGUGGCUUCUCUGUUCUUCAGAGAGAGCGAUAAAAUGCCUUAUAUGAUUUUGGUAGUGUAUUUUGGCUGAAUGUUUGAAUAGUAUGUGGCUUUUAUGAAGCAGGUUGAAGUAGGCAGCCAGAAAGCUUCAGUUAGUGGUUCCCAGAUUUCGGAUGCUGGGCCUUCUGAAAUGGAUUUACCAAGAGUUAUCUGACUUCACAUGAACAAUCAGCAAUAUCUGUAUCCGAGGCCAAACGCGGCACUUCAUUAUUUCUUGCACUUCGCACAAAGUGACCAUGCUAAUGCUGCAACAUUUGCAAUAUUGUUUUGAUGAAAUGGUGGGGCAAAAUUGCGAAGGAUUCAAUUCCGAGGAGAAAAAAGCUUGACUGCCAGCAUGAAGAUGAGCGAUUACCUCAGAGCAGCCCUAGGAGAAGGAAACCAUGUCUGGUUUUGAAAACAGAACAAGCAGAAGAAAAAAAAGGUGGUGUACAGUCUUGUUGCUUGAUUGUUUGAUCAAGUCUAUCCGGAGUACUGAGUACGUGGCCUGUAUAAUUCUGGAAUGCUUGUUAUGUGUCCUUGGGCAUCUUAAUAUUUGAUAUGGCGUCGAGCCAAGUCGCGGAGCAGUAGCUAGAUUUCUUGUUUUCAGAAAGUGACUGGACUUCUCAUUGCUCAAGUAUAAUCUAUUUCAUUAUGUCUUACCUGAGAUCUCACGUUGUA